rnacentral:rRNA from 1 species
UACGUAGGGUGCGAGCGUUAAUCGGAAUUACUGGGCGUAAAGCGUGCGCAGGCGGUUAUGCAAGACAGAUGUGAAAUCCCCGGGCUCAACCUGGGAACUGCAUUUGUGGCUGCAUGGCUGGAGUGCGGCAGAGGGGGGUGGAAUUCCACGUGUAGCAGUGAAAUGCGUAGAGAUGUGGAGGAACACCGAUGGCGAAGGCAGCCCCCUGGGCCGACACUGACGCUCAGGCACGAAAGCGUGGGGAGCAAACAGG